rnacentral:lncRNA from 1 species
UUUAGUUUAUAGUUGAGCUUAGGUAUGGAAGACGGAAGCGCAUCAAGACAGAGUUCUUCAACUACCUAUGCCACAAUGAUUGUGAAGAUAGCGAUGAUCAUGGCUUGAAAAAACAUCGAAUUGAGUGAGUGGAAUUUAAGAUGACCUCAUCAGAUGUUGUGUAAGAGUAACGGAUUAAGGAAACAAAGUAGCGGGUGUGACAUCCUCCGGGUUCCGUUGAUGAAUUAGUCACUGUUCUUGACGCAAGCCCUACUUUUGAGUUUUGUUUACGGUUCCUGUUUUAGUACUAAGGAGGCAUGCUAUGAAUAUUUAUCUGAUAGCCCUUUUGAAUGGUGGCACAAGGGUGCUUGCUUCUUAUUCAUGUGGGAUGGAAGAGUGAGCAAUCUUUUCCUCAAAUGGUUCACAGCAUAUAUAUGGAGGUAGCAAGAAUGGCUUUAUAAAU